UCCUGCCAUCGCACCAAAUGGGGGGUAGUGGUGGUCUGGUCUCACCUCACCGCUCCUGGCUUCCUCCGGCCACACCGGGUCAGAUGACAUGUUACUUUCUUUGUUUCGGGAUUUGCAUGGGAGGCGUACCUCCCCGCCUCUCAUUAUCAUAUUGUCUCUAUAUAAUCUCAUGAAUGUGUUUCUUCGGGGCUUCCUGAUGAAAUCUGAGACUCACAGGAGCCCGAAUCGAUUCGUGUUGCGUUGCGAUAAACUGAAGAAAAGACUACGUGGUGUUGGGUCUUCUUCCACCUUAUAGAGAGAUAAAAGAAUCUGUAACCAAGGAAGGGCCAAGAGCAAAUUGACAGCUCCCAUUCCUCAACAAAUGGCGUCACGAACAGGGUCUCUCUGGAAAAAGACCGACACCGGUUUCAGGACCUUCAGACUCAGGCAGUAACCAAGGAGCGCUCCACUAUAACCAGGUAAGACACACCUGUUCCUGUUAUUACGGGCAAAGUGUCAAGAUUCGGCUUAUGUCCAAUAAGGACCGAUCAAAUCAAACUGCUCUGAACCUGAAUGUGUUGAACCAAGUAUAGUGAUUGGGUCUUGUAGGUGGCAAAUAACAAAUUGAUAAUGAGUUUGUAGGCAAUUAAAAAAAAUUAGUGGUUAAUUGCUAAGGCAGGUCCAGGUAAUUUUUAUUAUUCUGGAUGCUGAUAAAUUGUAGGACUGACGAAUGGAGAUCGCGGUCUGAGUAGACAGCUGAGCAGAGACCAUACUGAGUUUGUUUAGGCAAUUAAAAAAUUAGUGGUUAAUUGCUGAGGCAGGUCCAGGUAAUUUUUAUUAUUCUGGAUGCUGAUAAAUUGUAGGACUGACGAAUGGAGAUCGCGGUCUGAGUUCGAAGGCAUUUAAAAAAUUAGUGGUUAAUUGCUGAGGCAGGUCCAGGUAAUUUUUAUUAUUCUGGAUGCUGAUAAAUUGUAGGACUGACGAAUGGAGAUCGCGGUCUGAGUUCGAAGGCAUUUAAAAAAUUAGUGGUUAAUUGCUGAGGCAGGUCCAGGUAAUUUUUAUUAUUCUGGAUGCUGAUAAAUUGUAGGACUGACGAAUGGAGAUCGCGGUCUGAGUAAACAGCUGUAUAUUUAGGGCAAGUUAGGGACAGCUCCAUUGUUACAAUUGGAGAAUUACGUGACGUCACACGGUCCAUAAGGGAGUAUAUUGGACGGUGAGUAUGAUAAAAACAUGGUGAACUGUAAGGUGGACGGAACGCCUGAAGGCAAGAAAACGGUUGAAAUACCGUCUGGUGGUAAGUAGGAAAGAAAGGAAGGCGAAUGCAUUGCGCAGAGAGAGAAAAGGGCGAAUGCACUGCGCAGAGGGGAAGUAAAGCGAGAAAAUAAGGUCUUAAGAAUAAAUUGUAAGAAUAAGACAAUAGUUUGAAAUAUAAAAAGAAAAAACUAAGUGUAUUCAAUUCGAGCUAUAAUAAUAAUAUAAUAAUAAUAAUAAUACAUUUUAUUUGUGGGGUCUUUCUAUGAACUCAAGGACACCUUACAACAAGCAGUUAAAAUCACGAAUACAAUGUUAAGAUCAACAUCAAAUAAAAUAAGAAAAAAAUACAACAACAGAAAGAAUAAUGGCUCUAUGGUCCGAGUGAAUAGGCUUGUCCAAACAGAUGUGUUUUGAGGCGGAAUUUAAAAUGUGUUAAUGAGUCUGUAUUACGAAGGUCAGCGGGGAGUGUGUUCCAGAGCUGGGGAGCAGAUCGACUGAAGGCUCUGUUUCCCAUGGUGACAAGACGAGCAGGGGAGGCAGAGAAAAGAAGAGAGGAGUAGGAACGAAAAGAGCGGACAAGUGUAGGAAUGUGGAUGAGGUCAGAUAGGUAUGGAGGGGCUAGGUUAUGGAUGGCUUUGAAUGUGAGGAGUGAGAAAAGAGCGGAGCCGGUGGAUGUUUCUAAGAUGAUAAUAUGAUGUGGUUGAUAUGCGAGGGGAAAAGAGAGGGUCAAGUUGACAAGUAGAGGUUCUUCUAUAUAUUGCAUUUCAUGGGCAGUUUGACCACUGCCUUCGACAUUGGAAAAAGAAAAAAAAGAA